CCGACUGCUAUUUGGGUGAGGAUAAGCCAUGCGAGUCGAAUGGGAUACCUAAAAUUCCCAUGGCAAACUGCUCAGUAACACAUGAUCAACUUACCCUAUGGAGAAAAAUACCCUCGGGAAACUGAGGAUAAUGUUUCAUAGAUGAAAAGGCUUGGAAAAGUUUUUCAAUGAAAGGGAUAAGAAAAAUGGUUUUUAUCUGCCAUAGGAUAGGAUCGUGGUCGAUUAUGUUGUUGGCGAGGUAACGGCUCACCAAGCCGAUAAUCGAUAGGGGCCGUGAGAGCGGGAGCCCCGAGAUGGGUACUGAGACAACGACCCAGGCCUUACGAGGCGCAGCAGGCGCGGAACCUCCGCAAUACACGAAAGUGUGACGGGGUUACCCAAAGUGUUCUUAUAGAACUGUGGUAGGUGAGUAAUGUCCCCUACUAGAAAGGAGAGGGCAAGGCUGGUGCCAGCCGCCGCGGUAAAACCAGCUCUUCAAGUGGUCGGGAUAAUUAUUGGGCUUAAAGCGUCCGUAGCCGGUUUAGUAAGUUCCUGGUAAAAUCGGGUAGCUUAACUAUCCGCGUGCUAGGAAUACUGCUAUACUAGAGGGCGGGAGAGGUCUGAGGUACUACAGGGGUAGGGGUGACAUCUUAUAAUCCUUGUAGGACCACCAGUGGCGAAGGCGUCAGACUGGAACGCGCCUGACGGUGAGGGACGAAAGCCAGGGGAGCGAACCGGAUUAGAUACCCGGGUAGUCCUGGCCGUAAACGAUGCAUACUAGGUGAUGGUACGGCCAUGAGCCGUAUCAGUGCCGUAGGGAAACCGUUAAGUGUGCCGCCUGGGAAGUACGGUCGCAAGGCUAAAACUUAAAGGAAUUGGCGGGGGAGCACCACAAGGGGUGAAGCCUGCGGUUCAAUUGGAUUCAACGCCGAAGG
rnacentral:rRNA from 1 species